UACGGGGGGAGCAAGCGUUGUUCGGAUUUACUGGGCGUAAAGGGCGCGUAGGCGGCCACCGCAAGUCGACUGUGAAAUCUCCGGGCUUAACCCGGAAAGGUCAGCCGAUACUGCGGGGCUAGAGUGCAGAAGGGGCAACUGGAAUUCUCGGUGUAGCGGUGAAAUGCGUAGAUAUCCGGAGGAACACCGGUGGCGAAGGCGGCUUCCUGGACCGAUCACUGACGCUGAGGCGCGAAAGCUAGGGGAGCAAACGGG
rnacentral:rRNA from 1 species